rnacentral:rRNA from 1 species
UACGGGGGGGGCAAGCGUUGUUCGGAAUUACUGGGCGUAAAGGGCUCGUAGGCGGCCAACUAAGUCAGACGUGAAAUCCCUCAGCUUAACUGGGGAACUGCGUCUGAUACUGGAUGGCUUGAGUUCGGGAGAGGGAUGCGGAAUUCCAGGUGUCGCGGUGAAAUGCGCAGAUAUCAGGAGGAACACCGGUGGCGAAGGCGGGUCUCUGGGCCGAUACUGACGCUGAGGAGCGAAAGCGUGGGGAGCGAACAGG